rnacentral:rRNA from 1 species
CACGUAGGGCGCGAGCGUUGUCCGGAAUUAUUGGGCGUAAAGAGCGUGUAGGCGGCCAGGUAGGUCUGCUGUGAAAACUCGAGGCUUAACCUCGAGAUGUCGGCGGAAACCAUCUGGCUAGAGUCCGGAAGAGGAGAGUGGAAUUCCUGGUGUAGCGGUGAAAUGCGCAGAUAUCAGGAGGAACACCUAUUGCGAAGGCAGCUCGCUGGGACGUAACUGACGCUGGAGACGCGAAAGCGUGGGGAGCAAACAGG